rnacentral:rRNA from 1 species
GACGAACGCUGGCGGCGUGCUUAACACAUGCAAGUCGAACGGACAGGCCCUGCUUUUGUGGGGUGCUCGAGUGGCGAACGGGUGAGUAACACGUGAGUAACCUGCCCUUGACUUUGGGAUAACUUCAGGAAACUGGGGCUAAUACCGGAUAGGAGCUCCUGCUGCAUGGUGGGGGUUGGAAAGUUUCGGCGGUUGGGGAUGGACUCGCGGCUUAUCAGCUUGUUGGUGGGGUAGUGGCUUACCAAGGCUUUGACGGGUAGCCGGCCUGGGAGGGUGACCGGCCACAUGGGGACUGAGAUACGGCCCAGACGCCUACGGGAGGCAGCAGGGGGGAAUAUUGCACAAUGGGCGGAAGCCUGAUGCAGCAACGCCGCGUGCGGGAUGACGGCCUUCGGGGUGUAAACCGCUUUCGCCUGUGACGAAGCGUGAGUGACGGUAAUGGGUAAAGAAGCACCGGCUAACUACGUG